CAGGCAGGAAGGAAACGGUCAGAUUGGGCUGUUUUGGGUGCUGAGGACCCACGAAUGACACUCUCUUGGUCUUGAAAACCUCAGAGAAAGCCGAGAGGGAGAAAAGAUCACAGGUCCUUGGUGUUCAGCAUGGUUUUCUCAGCAAGGAUCCCGACCAGUAGGAGCUGCUCAGAAGUGUAUGUCCUGCCCACCCCGCCCCUUCCAGGGCCCCCUGCAUUAGACACUGCAGUUGGGGGCCAGCAGCUGACCCCUGACAAGCCCUCCAGGUGAGUGGGAUGCAUGCCCCAUGGGCGAGAAUCACGGGUGACGUGUAGCUAUUUUCAGCCUUGGCUGCACAUUGGAACCUCUUGGCUUUCAAGCCACAAGGGGACCGUGCCUCAGACCCAUUGCAUCAGGCCCUCUAGGCUUGGGACCGGCACCUGUGGUUGAUUUGAAGCCAGCCAAGGUCAAGUGCGGUGGUGCACUGGAAGGUGGUUUUGGGGUCAGCCAGACUCAAGUUCAAAUCCCAGCUUUCUCACUUGCCAGACUCAAGUUCAAAUCCCAGCUUUCUCACUUGCUGGCUGUUUGACCCUGGGCAAGGCACACCCCUUUCCUGGCCCCCAGGAAGUUUCCUGUGCUGGACAAUUGAAAUCCUCUUUCCUGCCUGGCAGAAUUUGUUUGAGGACUGAGCAAAGCGUCCUGUGUAUGGAAGCACCUAGAACAAAACCUGGUGCCCCGAGGGAGUUCAGUACAUGAUGGCUCUUCUCUGCUCCCUUCUGUUGGACUCUGGGAUUUUUCCAGAGCAGGGACCACUCCUAGUUUUCUUUGCAUCCCCAGGGAAUAAUUCAUCGCGUGUGCCCUGCACGGCUGGGAGAGAGCUGGGGAAGUGGGCAUGUGAGAGGCUCAGCUACCGGAUUUCUUCCCUUACAGCCCGGCUGCCAUGGGCUAGGAUCACCUUUCUCUGCAUCGUCUUAACUAAGGUCUCCAAGUCACCCACAAGAGAGAUUAAAUUCUGCAUUUCUGCCUGGCCUGGGCCCCCCCCACCACCUCCUACCACUGAGGAAUUUUCUCAUCUGUAA
rnacentral:lncRNA from 1 species